rnacentral:rRNA from 1 species
CCAGACUCCUACGGGAGGCAGCAGUGGGGAAUAUUGCACAAUGGGGGAAACCCUGAUGCAGCAACGCCGCGUGAGUGAAGAAGUAUUUCGGUAUGUAAAGCUCUAUCAGCAGGGAAGAAAAUGACAGUACCUGACUAAGAAGCCCCGGCUAACUACGUGCCAGCAGCCGCGGUAAUACGUAGGGGGCAAGCGUUAUCCGGAUUUACUGGGUGUAAAGGGAGCGUAGACGGCUGCGCAAGUCAGAAGUGAAAGCCCGGGGCUCAACCGCGGGACUGCUUUUGAAACUGUGUAGCUAGAGUGCAGGAGAGGUAAGUGGAAUUCCUAGUGUAGCGGUGAAAUGCGUAGAUAUUAGGAGGAACACCGGUGGCGAAGGCGGCUUACUGGACUGUAACUGACGUUGAGGCUCGAAAGCGUGGGGAGCAAACAGGAUUAGAUACCCCCGUA